rnacentral:rRNA from 1 species
GGCGACCGGCGCACGGGUGAGUAACACGUAUCCAACCUACCGUUCACUCGGGGAUAGCCUUUCGAAAGAAAGAUUAAUACCCGAUAGUAUGCUUUUAUCGCAUGAUAGAAUCAUUAAAGAAUUCGGUGUUCGAUGGGGAUGCGUUCCAUUAGCUUGUUGGUGAGGUAACGGCUCACCAAGGCAUCGAUGGAUAGGGGUUCUGAGAGGAAGGUCCCCCACACUGGUACUGAGACACGGACCAG